UACGGGGGGGGCAAGCGUUGUUCGGAAUUACUGGGCGUAAAAGGCGCGUAGGCGGCCUGAUAAGUAGGGGGUGAAAUCCUGUGGCUUAACUGCAGGGCUGCCUCCUAGACUGUUAGGCUCGAGCACGGUAGAGGCAGAUGGAAUUCCCGGUGUAGCGGUGGAAUGCGUAGAGAUCGGGAAGAACAUCGGUGGCGAAGGCGGUCUGCUGGGCCGUUGCUGACGCUGAGGCGCGACAGCGUGGGGAGCAA
rnacentral:rRNA from 1 species